GGGAAUAUAGCUUAGCAGCACAGUGCCUGCCUGACAAGCAGGAGGUCCUGAGUUGAACUCUCAGUACCA
rnacentral:tRNA from 1 species